UCUGAAAUAGCUACUGGAUAUUUGGUUGCGCAUAACUUGAAAACAUAUUAAAUGUACGGAUGUACAGUGUAAUUUCAGUCUCUACUGAUGGCAUCUAUCAGUUAUCAGAAACCAAUUAGACCUGCAAACAUUUGUCAGAAAAAAGGUAUUGUGGCUCAGCAGAGAGCAAACACUUGGUCGAAUAUCAACUCUUCUAGAUAUUUUUUCAACAUGCAAAUGUUCUUAUUAGUCACUUGAUAUGUAAUACAAUCCCAGAAAAUUAUCAAAUUCUAGAAUCUGGUUGGCGCAAUAACAUAGAAGUUUAUAUUGUUAUUAUUGUUUGUGUUAAUUGAUCCAAGUUGACAUGAAUGUGUAAGCAAGUCCUAGGUGAAUAUGUUUCAACUGUCUUCAUUUAUUGAUGCCCGGCCAGAUGGGCACCUAUUGUCUUUUUUUUUUCUCUUUCUUUUCUUUUUAAUGACAAUGGUGUCCGAUCAGCUUGCCUCGCAUGAAUAGGAGUGUGUUGAAUCCACAGAAAUCUAGUAAUAAUGGAGCAAAGCCAUGAUGAUUUUGUACAAAGAAUGAUAGACUACGAGGUGAUUGAGCAAAGUGUAACAACCAGGGACUAAAAUCUUGUCUUCAGAUUUCGUCAUAGGCAUCAGGAUAACACUCACUGCUUCCCCAGAUUCCGUACAUAAUAGGAUUGAAAAAUUAAGAAGAAAAGGUGGGAAAUCGAAUCUUCACCAAUAAUAUAAAAGUUCAAAUAACAUUUUCUUAAAAAGUCAAUCUAACUCUUGAGAAAGUAUGGUUAGAAAAUAACUUAUAUAAUUUCCACGUCUAAAUAAUUAGAUUACUUAUACUUUAUCUAAUCAUAGUUUUUAUUGACACUCACCAUCUUCCUUUGCUCGAAAAAUAAAUAGCUUUACUUAAUUUAUGAGACCUUUCUUUGGAUGGACUCCACAGUCCACACAAUACAAGCUUAACUUGUCCAGCUUUUUUCCCUUAAAACAUAAAUAUAAACAUGGCUAUUUGAAGGAGAACUAAAGAAAAAGAAGUCAAAAUGAGUGUUCAGAGUUCAGAAACUGCAGAUUAUAAUUCAAUAGGGGCCCACUGAAAAAAGGUUUUGUCAAUUAAGGGGAAAGUACACACACACAUACAUCAAGUGCAACAGCUUUGAAGCUAAAGACAUAAUGAAAUACCAAAACUACCAGCCUAACUUCAACUGUGUCUCCCCUAAUUCUUCUUAGGGAUCAAAACUAAAUACAAAGAUUUUAGUGAAAAUUAACUCAUUGAAACCAAUGGAUACAGAAAUUUAAAAGAGUUUCCUUAGUUUAUUUGCUCAGCUAAUAAUUAUUAUUUCAAAAAUUUAUAGGACAAUUUUUGAGAAAAGUUCCAAUCCUGUGAAACCGUCAGACUGAAUUAAAAAUAAAAAGCGUAUCCCUCAGAAUGCCUAGUAUCUACAUUGCUGAAAUAACACGGUUCCUCAACCUUUUUGUAAAAGGGAGCACCAAUCCAUAUAACAUCUCAGAUUACUAAAUGAUUCAUCACUGGGAUAAUCUCUACAGUGCCCCACUUUUGGUAUUGAACACUUCUUUUUUAAUGUACUAAAUUUUUUGCUAUGUGCAGUUUAUGAAAGGACAAAAAGGAUUCAAUGUUACCGAGAAAUUAUUUUCACGGUCUAAACCCGUAAUUUUUCAAUUACCUGAUAACAAUUUUGAUUACCCCAAAAACACAUACACCAGAAGAAAAAAAAAACAGAAAACAAAAAACAUAACAGAAAGUAACCUUUGUUAACAGACGGCGUGCUACCUGUGGCCGCCGGCGAAGAAGGAUAUUCAGCUCGGCGAAUGGGACAGAGCUGUGGCGGAUGGAACAGAGUGACGGCCGCUUGUUA
rnacentral:lncRNA from 1 species